UACGGGGGGGCAAGCGUUGUUCGGAAUUACUGGGCGUAAAGGGCUCGUAGGCGGCCAACUAAGUCAGACGUGAAAUCCCUCGGCUUAACCGGGGAACUGCGUCUGAUACUGGUUGGCUUGAAUCCGGGAGAGGGAUGUGGAAUUCCAGGUGUAGCGGUGAAAUGCGUAGAUAUCUGGAGGAACACCGGUGGCGAAGGCGGCAUCCUGGACCGGUAUUGACGCUGAGGAGCGAAAGCCAGGGGAGCAAACGGGG
rnacentral:rRNA from 1 species